rnacentral:lncRNA from 1 species
GAGUUCGAAAGGCAUCAUGGAAGUUCGUUUACUGGAGGAGUCUGGAGGAUCCUAUGGAAGUCCGACUGAUGUUGUUGAAGUCCGAUUGACGCUAUUGAAGGUUGAUGGCUGGAGAGGUACGGAAGACACUGGAGGCGGUCGGCCGUUGUAGAAAUCUAGCUGCUGGAGCCCGUCUGUUGUAGAAGUUCAUUCGAAAUCCAUCCGCUAUGGAAGUUCAGAUGGAGUUCGAUUCUUGUAGAAGUCCGGAUGGAGAUCGCUUAUCGAAGAAGCUCGGCUGAAAUCCGCCUGUAAUAGAAGUUCGAAAGGAAUUCAUUUACAGUAGAAGCUCGGAUGGAAUU